UUAGCAGACUUGUUACAAGGUUGUUCUAACAAGUCUGAUACAGUCAUGAUAUAACAAGAAUGUUACAAGGUUGACGACACAAGGUUGGAACAAUUGUUAUAUCAUGAAUGUAUCGGACUUGUUGGAACAACCUUGCAACAAGUCUGAUAA